rnacentral:tRNA from 1 species
GUCCUCUUAGCUCAGCUGGAUAGAGCAACAGCCUUCUAAGCUGUGGGUCGAUGGUUCGAAUCCAUCAGGGGACACCA